rnacentral:sRNA from 1 species
ACCUUUAUUACAGAAAGGAGCUGAUGUUAUUGUUAGCAGAAUUUUUGAAAGGUACUGUGCUCUCAUAGGUAAAUAGACACAUUGCUCUACUCGGAGCCGAAGCGGACUAGACGCGCAAAACUAGGAAUGAAUCUAAGUCGAAAAUGUCUAUCACUUUAAAUUAGAGAUAGAUGGAGUGGUGGCAUGACACGUAAAAAUAUUGCCGUUAUUCGACUUAGGGGUAUAGAGUCGUUGUUGCUACCUAUAAACCAUGCAGUGCUGGUUCCCAAUCCAGCGAAGAUUUGUUUUGUCUGUCCGAUGGGCAGAGAGCUAAUCAAAAUUGGUGGGUGCUAGAGUAUCGGACACUCUAGCAUUUUC